AACAAUAUAAUGUGCUGCCUUGCCUGCGUUUGGGUGCCUGGCACGUAGGGCAGAUGUAGUCCUUUCCAAGCUCCGAGAAGGGAGUUCGGCCAUCGUAGAUAUAUCCGCAAUCUAUACAGAUGUACGUCGGAGUCGCUGUCUUUGCCUUAGCUCCAAAGGCCGCCUGUGUCUUCGCGGCAUGCCCUCUCCUAGGAAUGCGUCUGCUCUGCCUCAAUCUCAGUGUCUGUGCCUGCGACGGUAGCUAUGACCAAUUUGUCACAUUUAAGAUGCCAUAUUCAAUACUCCAGAUUUAUGCAUUUCCUACUCUGCAUCAAAGUGACAAAAGGAAAUCUGAGGUGGAAAAGGUCAGUCUUGAUCAAAGGCAUACCACCAAGUCCGAGAAGGUACCAUUAUGUGUUUAAAAAAAAUUACCUUUGGCUGUGUGACAAAGCUCCCGCACAACUGCGUCCUAGUAUGCAGUUGCUGCGUCUGCAUUGACGUGAGAUUCAUUGGAACGGACGCACUCUCCUUAAAUUUGCUGAUGCACAAUAAUUACGCCUCCUGUGCAGAUAGAUUCCUUGAGAUCUUGCUGUUCUCUUGAAGAGCUUAUACCACCGCCAAG
rnacentral:lncRNA from 1 species